rnacentral:misc_RNA from 1 species
AGAUUGAUUGCAAAAAUUGCUAUGGAAGUAUGUAGUCCCGACUUACAGUGCAUAAAUCCCCGACAACUAGAUCUGCAGGUGCCCCAGAAAGCAUUAGGGAGGAGAGGCGGCAUUUCUUUUGGUUCCAGUGACAGUCACGUUAGUUUGACAAAGCCGCGAUUUGAGAGACGAGGUGGAAUCUCCUUUGGUCAAGACGACAACAAUGCGAUUUAUGUCAGGAUGCUGGGUGACGUCCGAUUGAGGGUGACACUAGACACAGAAAAAUCAAAGCCUGCAUCCUCAAGAUAGAAAGCUCCUGGAAAGGUUGCUGUCAACAGACCAAAAAUCACGAUUAUCGUCACGUUUUCAAAGUUUUAACAAACACCGGCGAAAACGCAGUGCAUCAGAGAAUGCCUCUCGCCAGCUUCAGUCCCUGUUGGAUCAACAGUACUCGCAGCAAGCGCAGGAGUUGAUGAGCCAACUGAAUGUGUGGAACUUUGAUAUUUUCAAUUUAGACAUUUUAACCGGGGGGAGGUCGUUAACUCAUGUUGCCAUCCAUUUAUUUAAGAAGUAUAACCUAAUCUCUGCAUUCAAACUGGACUUCAUUCAACUCAUGCAAACAUUUACCCUGAUUGAGAAUGGUUACCAUGGAAGCAAUCCUUAUCAUAACUCUGUCCAUGCUGCAGAUGUCACUCAGGCGAUGCACUGUUACUUACAGGAAGUGCAGUUAAGAAAUUCAAUUCCAAAGUUUGAGGUCAUGACCUCUCUGCUGGCAGCCAUGACACAUGACCUUGACCACCCAGGGGUUAACCAAGCAUUUCUAAUAGCAACAGCUAAUCAUCUUGCAGAUCUUUAUCAGAAUACCUCAGUGUUAGAGAAUCAUCAUUGGCGCUGUGCCGUUGGUGUUUUAUAUGAGUCAGGACUAUUCAACCAUCUUGACCAAGACGUAUGGAACCAAAUACUGGGACAGCUUCGUUCAUUGAUAUUAGCUACUGAUAUUACACGACAACAGGAAUUUCUUAGCCGGUUUAAGAAGUACCUGGAUGAUAAGAACCUAGAUUAUAAGAAUGAUUCGCAGGAUCGAAUCUUUUUAUUACAGAUAGCCUUAAAGUGUGCUGAUAUAAGUAAUCCGUGUCGAGAGUGGAGUCUGAGUAAACAAUGGAGUGAUCGAGUCUGUGAUGAGUUCUUUAGGCAAGGAGACUGCGAGAGAGAGUUACAGCUUCCUGUGACUCCUAUGUGUAACAGAUUAACGACCACCACAGCCAAAAUACAGGCUGGGUUUAUGGAAUAUGUGGUGAACCCGUUGUUUUUUGCAUGGCGACAGUUCCUUCCAUCAAAGCUCAGUCAUACGAUGCUAGAUAAUGUUGCUCAGAAUCUCAAGCACUGGCAGGAUGUGAUCACGCGGGAAGAGGAGGGAAACAAAUCCAAAGACUCGGACGAGGAGGUGGUCAACGAGGAGGAGAGGAACGACACGGAAAACGGCUGGGAUCCUGAGCAGAGGCGACACAGUAUGCCUCCUGCGUACAUCAGGAGGGAAAUUACUUGUGUGACGAUUCGUAGAGAUAGUGUUCCAAUGGCUCAAUAUAUAAGGCGAAGGAGUCUACCCACAGCCAUGUUGGUUCAAACAAAUUCUCUAGAAAAACUCUCUGGGAAAUUAUCUGCCCUUGCCCAGCGGCACAACAUGGCAAACAAAAGUAUAUCUAUGGAGGAGUUGAUGUCUCGUCCCAAGAUCUCUAAUCUGACAGCCAGUUAUGAAACAAACUUACUGGCCAGUGGCCUCUCCGUCGUGACGGACCCAUACUCAAAAUCCCACAGCAGCAUUGUUCGAUUUCUCACAGUACCUCAGAACUCCUCUGACCCACCUCAUGACCCUAGUCACCAAGCAGACUUGAACACAUUCCCAUGGUCAAGCAAUAACUGUGCUCAAAACUGUGAUCAGCAAAAUAAACAUCUAAAUGAUUCAGACUGUAUCAAAGUCAAACGUAUCAGUGACCCGGACUGUAUAGGAAACCUGAACUUAGCGGGCACUUCCUCAGUCCUACCCAAAACCCACUAGUCUUUCAUUAGUAUAAACCAUUUUUAUUUGUAAAAAAUGAAAAUUUAAAAGGGUAAUUAUUUACAAUUUAACUAAUAUGAAAUUUAUAUAUAUAUAUAUUUAUAUCUACAUUAAAUAAAUUGUUGUCAUAGUU